rnacentral:rRNA from 1 species
AUUGAACGCUGGCGGCAUGCCUUACACAUGCAAGUCGAACGGCAGCGGGGACUUCGGUCCGCCGGCGAGUGGCGAACGGGUGAGUAAUGUAUCGGAACGUACCAUUGAGUGGGGGAUAACGUAGCGAAAGUUACGCUAAUACCGCAUAUUCUCUCCGGAGGAAAGCAGGGGACCGCAAGGCCUUGCGCUCUUUGAGCGGCCGAUAUCGGAUUAGCUAGUUGGUGGGGUAAAAGCUCACCAAGGCGACGAUCUGUAGCGGGUCUGAGAGGAUGAUCCACCACACUGGAACUGAGACACGGUCCAGACUCCUACGGGAGGCAGCAGUGGGGAAUUUUGGACAAUGGGGGCAACCCUGAUCCAGCCAUGCCGCGUGAGUGAAGAAGGCCUUCGGGUUGUAAAGCUCUUUCGGCCGGGAAAGAAUCGCAUGGGUUAAUACCCUGUGUGGAUGAUGGUACCGGAAUAAGAAGCACCGGCUAACUACGUGCCAGCCGCCGCCGUAA